GUGGUUGAAGAUGUCAUUGAGAUCAACUCUGGUGACUUGGUGUUACUCUUCAACUUAAGGUUAACCUUUUUCCCAAUACAAUCAAAUCAAAUUAGUGUGGGCCUUUCAAGGUAGUUAGUAUUUCUCCUCAAGGAGGUAUUAUAUUAGAGUUUGAAGAUGGGACUAGAACGUUCAAGGUGAAUGACCAUCCAAUAAAACACUACUUUGGUGUUCUUCAUAAAGAAAUAUGAAGAAGUUCCACAAGCG
rnacentral:lncRNA from 1 species